rnacentral:rRNA from 1 species
UACGGAGGAUGCAAGCGUUAUCCGGAAUUAUUGGGCGUAAAGCGUCCGCAGGUGGCACUUCAAGUCUGCUGUCAAAGACCGGGGCUUAACCCUGGAAAGGCAGUGGAAACUGAAGCGCUAGAGUGUGGCAGGGGUAGAGGGAAUUCCCGGUGUAGCGGUGAAAUGCGCAGAUAUCAGGAGGAACACCGGUGGCGAAGGCGGGUCUCUGGGCCGUAACUGACGCUGAGGAGCGAAAGCGUGGGGAGCGAACAGG